CUCUGUUUCAAAAUAAAAAGUAUAAGAAGGGCUUCUGGGUGUAUGGACAUAUGAUAACUGGAAGGCCAACACAGGUCGCAUGAGACUCCCCAUCUCAAAACAACAACAAAGUGCCUCCAUUAACACCCUCAAACACAUUGACCUUCUUUAGGGUCCCAGGGUAGCACAAAUAAUAAAAAAAAAACAGUGACAGAUAUUGGGGUUCAAGCCAAAAACCAGAAAAGCAAAGCAGCCAAGUCACUAGAGAAGUCUUACCUCCCAAGGCUGGGCAACCACAGCCUAAGCUGACUAAGCCUCUCUCUCCUUUCAUUUUUAUAUUCCCUCUAAUCUAGUGCUAGGAUUAAAGGUGCGUGACUCCCUCGUACUGGAAUUAAAGGUGAGGCACCACCACCUGGAUUUGUUUCAGCGUUGACCUCCUGUAGCUGAGGGUGACCUUGAACUCACAGAGAUCCACCUGCCUCUGUCUGGGGGAUUAAAUCCUGGGAUUACAGGUGGUCUGCCACCACUGCCUGACCUCUAGUGGCUUUAGCCCUUCUGAUAUUUAGGCAAACUUUAAUUACUAAAACAUAAAUAAAAUAUCACUAUACUCUCCUGCAGAGGAAGCAGCACGAGGAAGCUUCCUUUUGUUUUUUGGGGGGGCUGAACCCUCUACUUCCCUAGGAUGAUAUUUGAGCACUGAAGAAUAUAUGAAGAACCAUGGCUUCCAGGCACUGGGAGGAUCUACUGAGCCCUGAGUACCAUCAAGACAGGAGGAUGUCUCAGAGAUACCCCCUUGCCUCAUAUGGCCUCUGUCAAUGAUCCGCCAAACCUUCUCUGUUCUUUCCACACUCUCUGAGACCCCUACAGUCACCCCGUGGUUACACAAGGUGACCUGGGAAAGGCAAAGGGGACUCCACCUGCACAGACACGUCACCAAACCUUUCUCUGACUCUUUCAACUUAAAGCUUUGUCAGGAAAAACAGGCACAGUUACUCCCAGACUUGACCCAUGUGUCCUCAGCAGGGUCAUUUCCUCCUUGGGGCUUGGGGACACAAAGGGAACAAGUGGAAGUUGCUGGAACCCAGGACCUUGAAGGAGAGCCUCACAGAACUGGACCCUGAUAUCUUAGAGAGGACAUCAGCCUGCUGCCCGUGGCUGUGCUGGGCUGGGCCAGGUGUGGAAACCUGGCCGAUCUGGCUUGGAGGGCGGAGACAACAGUGUUGGAAGAGCCCUGUUCUGCAGUAAAUGGACUGGACCACAGUGCAGCCCAGGGUUUUUCAUAUUGGUCCACAGACUGAUGAGGGAGGGAUACCUGGCUCAGGUGUGAGGUGUUCCGUUGCCUGUCUCAGUCAGAUAAUGAUGCUCCUGUCUGUUCUGGUCCUCACUUCGUAGCUUCCUCUGUUUACCCUAGAAGGAAUCAGCAUGGAAUGGCCUGGUUGCUUCUCCCAAAAUAGAAUAUAGAGUCAAAGUUCUGGGCGGAUGGAUCAGAGGGUAACGACGCGCUUGCUGCAAAAACAUCAGGACUCAAGUUCAAAUCCCCAGAAUUCAUGUGAAAACCUGGGAUGGCUUUGACUCCAGAGCUGGAGACUCCCAGAGAGGCAGGACCCUUGAAUUCACUGGCCAACCAGCUUCACUGAACUGGGCAGAAUAUAUCAAGACAGGAAAUCCAAGCAGAGAUAGAGGAAAGAAGGUGGAAUCAGAGACACCAUGUAGCUGCCCAAGAAGCAAGAGACAGUGUCUCAUAAAGCCCAGGAUGGUCUUGAACUGGUGAUGUAGCAGAAGCUGGACUUGAACACUUGAACAUCCCACCUCAGCCUCCUGAGUGCUGACAUGCACCAUCACACCUAACUGGUAAAUUCAGUUUUUAAUUCUAGUAGGUUUGCUGAAGAUUCUCUGAAAUGUUCUGUGUAAAUGAUCACGUCACACACAAAGAAGGACAGAGUACUUCUUUUAAAAAUCUAUAAUUAGUUUUUUUUCCUUACCUUAUUGCAAUAUCCAGGAUCUCUAGUUUGAAGUGGAACGGUAACUGACCUGAAUAGGUUUCUACAAAUGGCCUACUGCAGUGAGGGAAGGUUCCUUUUCUAGUUUACAAAAACACCAUCAUUCACUAAUUUCAAGCUUUUUUCUGGUGCAGUGUACCUAUUGAAAUUAGGUAUCGUGCUCUUAUUUUGUUAAUAUGACAAAUUACAUUGCUUGAGUCUCAAAUAUUAUAUUAAUCCUGCAUAAACCCUACGUGGUCGGGCUAUUUUCUCCUUUUACUAUAUUAUUGGGUUUAAUUUGUCAAAAUUGCUUUAGAGAUUUUUUUUAUCUAUGUCCAGGAAGAAUAUUGGUGUUUGUUUGUUUGACCAAUUGUUUUGUUUUGACAGUGUCUUGCUUUGCAGCCUAGGCCAGCUUCCAGUUCAUUACCCAACCCGGGCUGAAUCUCUUGAUCCCUGAGAUUAUAGGUGAAUGCUGAAGCUCUCAUUUUGUCAAUUUUGUUUAUGAAGUGAUUUCUUUCUUGUCGAUUUUUUGCAUUAGAGCUAUGCUAGUUUCUUUUUAACUUUUAUUGGUUCUUCGUGGAUUUCACAUUACCCAUUCUGAUCUCACUUCUCUCCCUAUCUCCUAGUAUUUGUCCUCUGCCCUUGUAACCUCCUCCCCAUAAACAAAACCAUAAGAAAAUCAAAACCAACACAAAAUAAAGAAACAAAACAAAAAGAAUGAGAAGGAGGAAGAUCUUAUUGUGGAAGCUGUAGUGUGACUGGUUGAAUCACACAAUUUACCUCAUUCAUCUUUACUUACAAGUGUUCAUUACUAUGAGUCAGUGGUCUACCUCCAGGCCUCUGGUGUCUCCUAGGUUACCGAUAAUGAGCUCUCACUGGGGCUCCUCUUGGAUAGCCUCUUGUUGUCCUCUGACACAGAGAUCCUGUUGUUUGUAUCUGUAGGUUUGUCCUCUUCACAUGUGCCAGCAUUUCAUAGAUUUUGGUGGAUGUUGGGGAUGGGUCAAUUCAUAGCCUUGGUUCUGGGCCUGCAUGGCAGCUAGGGUUGGUCAGCCCACUAGCUUUCCUUCAUCAUCACCACCAGGAAGAGCUCUCCAGCACGGCCUCAGUUAGCUCACCCAAUGCAGCCCACAGCAUGGAGCAGGGCCACUUCUACUCUAGGGCCCUCAGAUCAGAGUCCACUCACUCUUACAGCCAGAGCCAGCUCUAAUGUUUGAGAAGGAGGUCUUUACCCAAGUUGGGGGCUGGGACACAGCAAUGAGGAGGGGUAGAGGGAUUGGUAAUAGUGUUGGGUGGGAGGACACUGAGAAAGUUGGGGAGGUUCGCAGGUGGGCAGCCUACCUGGUGUUGGGGCAGUAGGGUUGGCCUCUGGUUGAGCAAUUCUCUAAUUAUUAUAUAAAGUUCCCAGCUUCUACAUUUUCUAAAGGAUUUUGUGGAAGAUUGGUGCAAUGGUUAAUCUUCAUUGACAACUUGUCAGAAUUUAGACUCUCCUAGGAGCUACUGGACACGCCCUGAUGGAUACUUCCAGAAAAAAGCACUGGGCAGUGAGGGCCCAUCCUAAACAUGAACUGCACCAUCAGUGGGCUUGAGUCCAAGACUAUACAAAGGGGACAGGAGAAAGUGAACUGAGCACUGACUGUCACCACUCUCUGCUUCCUGACUGCAGACACAGUCACCAGAUACACCAUAUUUCCACAGCCAUGCCCUCCCUGCCAUGACCACUAUGUCAUCAGAACCACGAGCCAGAAGACACUGUCCCCUUUAAGUUGCUCUUGUAUUUGCUCCCAAUAAGAAGAAGAGUAACAAAUACCAUGGGCGUCACUUUAUUCCAUCCUUGGGAUUUUUUAGUAGACUUUACCCAUAAAACUAUUUGAUCUUAAGAGUUUCCUGUGGAAAUUUUCUUUGAAUAUAACAAAUGAGGGUCUGGGGAGAUGGCUCAGUUGGUAAAGCAUUUGCUGUACAAGGUGAGGAUUUGAGUCUAGAGCCCGAGGAUUCAUAUAAAAACCAUGCAUGAGCCCUAGCAGUAGGGAUGGGGCAGGGCAGAGCUAGGCAGAUUCCCGAGAUCAGUCAGUCUAGACAGGGUUAGUUCCACUGUGGAAGAGACCGCAUCUUAAAAAGUGGCAGGUGUGCUGGCUAAUCUUGAUUGUCAACUUGAUGCACCUAGGAAGUAGGACCCUCAGCUGAAGAACUGCCUCCAUCAGAUUGGCACGUGAGUGUGUCUGUGGGCAUUAUCUUAAUUGCUAAUUGAUGUGGGGGAUGCCUGUGGUGCCAUCUCUGGGAGGGAGGACCUAGGCUGUCUAAGAAAGCAAGCUGAGCAAGCCAAUAAGCAGCAUUCCUCCAUGGUCUCCGCUCCAGUUCCUGCCUCCAGGUUCCUGCCUCAAAUCCUUUCUCUGUCCUCCCACAAAUGGUGGACUGUAAGUUGAAAUAACUGCUUUCUCUUACGUUGCUCUUGGUCACUGUUUUAUCAAGCAGCAGAAAGCAAACUAGGACUGAAGGCUAGAGGAAUGCGCACUAACCUCUACCUCUGACCUGCAUAAGCACAAGCUUACGUGUACUCACACACACAUGCAGACACACACAUAGGUGUAAACACACAUGUAUAUCUACACACAAAAAAACACAAAAGAACAAAUGAAAUUCAUUUAAUAGAUGGGUUGUUCUGAGUUUCUGCUUCAUUGCUGCCAGCUUGAAUGUUUGAUGGUUUCAGUGAUUGUGAGUUUGUUGCUAUGAAGUUAUUAAUUAUACCCCACUUCUCCUAUCAUCUUAAGGCCUGGAGUAUCUACAGCAGUAGCCUUUAUUUAUUUCUGGUCCUGGUCAUCUGCCUGCUCAGUCUCGCUAGUAUCCACCGAUUACCUGGAUCAGCAAUAACAUCACACGAUUCUGGAAUUCACAAAUGAAACAGGAGCCUUCAUUAUGAUAAGAAAAGCCCCAAACAGGAAAUGUCCCAACAGGUUUCCCAAAGAGCCGAAUGAAGAGCUGAGCAGAGCUCGGUACAGAAAGACACCAGAAAUUGUCAACACGGGAUGAUGUUACACCCUCCCUCCCUACUACACACCUUGCCAAGGGACUUUGGACAACGUCUGGAGACCACUUUGGACUAUCACAACAAAAGCAUAGGGGGGCACUGUUGGUGCCCAGUGGCUAGAAACUGAAUAGCCUACAUUACUUCCCACCAUGUUAAACAGAGACCCCACCAACACAGGAGAGACUGACUUAGCCCAGCAUGUCAGUGAUGGCAAGACUUAAGAAUCAUUGGUCUAAACAAAACGAUUGGAGGAUGAGUGGAUGAAUGAAUGAAUGAAUGAAUGAAUGAACGAACGAAUGUGACUUGGCACUGUUGUGAGUCCUGGGGAUGAAGAUAAGCAAAACACUCUCUCCCUCAAAAGCUCCUAAUCCGGAGCAGAAGGGAUGGAAUUCUGGCCAGGACGUGAAGCGGAGAUGGAGGGUAAAUGGCGAUGUGACAUGUUCUUGGCAAACUGGGGACACCACACGAAACCCAGUGUGCCUGGAGCGCAACUGGGAAGAGCGACCAAGACAGGCCUCAGACGGCACUGAGUGCUGCCGCUGUCCCUAGGUGCUGUCUCCUAGGCACACGUCUCAGGAAGGCAACUGAGAUGGUGACACAGUCAGAUCUUGUUCACAGCAAACACUUAGCAGCUCUGGUUGAAAAAAUUCUUCCCUCCAGCCAAGAAUUAGUACACUAGUCUCAAUCCAUAAAUCUGCCCAUGAUGACCUCAUGCACCAAACAGUAGAAUACGCUGGAGCCUUGGAGAAUACCCUGGAACACUCUGCCCACGCAGAUGUGACCCAUUCUUUUCAAAGCACAAUCCAGUAAUUUUUAAUAAAUCUGAAGACUUGUGCAAUGAUCACGAUAAUCCAAUUUUAGAAUAUUUCUGUCACCCCAAAGAGUCCCCCGUGUGCACUUGUUCUCAAUCACCAUCCUAACCCCAGCCUGAGGCGGUCACCAAUCUGCUGCCUGUCUCUUUGUAGCUGCCAUUUCAAGACAAUUCAAACAAAUGGAACCCUGCAGUAGCUGCUCUUGUGCCUGCAGCUUCUCUCGCUUAGCGUGAAUCAGUAGUUUGUCCCUCUCUAUUGCUGAGUGCCGCCUCAGCCCUAUGCCUAUUUAAAAGACUGCGCUGGUUAGAGGAUGAAGGAUGGAGCAGAGAAAAGAGAAAGACCAGUUAGAAGAUGGUGUUAGUCUGCGUGGAAGAAUGACUGAGCACCAAGCAAGAGGGAAAAGGGGCGAGAGGCACCAGGGCCUGGAAGCAGCUGACGGGAGGGUGAUUUGGAAGGGUUGCUCAUGCAUCAGAUCUGUGUGGGCAGAGGGAGAAGACUGGAAUAGGGUUAGAGCCCCACUGGGCUAUGAAAAGGGAUGUGAGCUGAUUGUAACUGUGGGGACAUUCAUACCUGUUUGAAAGAACCACCAUUCUACAGAUCUAAGCAAGCCUGGGCACUGCUGGGAAGCUGGCUUCUAGGGCUUUGGGAUGAAGAUAAUGAUAACAAGUUUGUGGAAGGAAUAAAUGGCACAAAGCUGUGAGGGACUGCAGGUUGAGGAGGGGGUAACACAAUCUCAGCAGGUUCAAAUGAAGGACCAGGGAUGAAUCGUGCUGGUAAUGCCCAGUGGUCACUAGUUCUGG